rnacentral:rRNA from 1 species
GACGAACGCUGGCGGCGUGCCUAAUACAUGCAAGUCGACCCAAGUGGGGACGGGUGAGUAACACGUGGGUAACCUCCCAUCAGAGGGGAUAACACUUGGAAACAGGUGCUAAACCGAUACUGAUGGAUGGAACCGCGGUGCAUUAGCUAGUUGGUGAGGUAACGGCUCAACAAGGCAACGAUGCAUAGCCGACCUGAGUGGGGGAUCGGCCAAACUGGGACUGUGCCACGUCACAGACUCCUACGGUAGGAAGCAGUGUGGACUCUUCGGCAAUGGCCGAAAGUCUGACCGAGCAGCGCCGCGUGAGUGAAGAAGUUUUUCGGAUCGUAAGGCACUGUUGUUAGAGAAGCGGUAUGUAACCAGAAAGCCACGGCAAACUACGUGCCAGCAGCCGCGGGAAUUC